rnacentral:rRNA from 1 species
GUGACAAUACUUCUUUCAAUUAAAAGUUCCCGAAAUAAUAAGAUCUAAAAAGCCAUAAGGCAUAGUAACUAAAUUAGACAUGUAGCAUAAUGUAAUUUUAAUGACUUUUUAGGGGAGAAAUUCCAACAAUUUUUAUGAUAGCUGGAUUAAGGAGAAAAGUAUUUAGUACUUAAAACAAUUAUGAAGUGAUAAGAUUUCGUAAAUCAAAUAAGAUAUUUUAAAUAGUCUUAGGGUUAACCCUCUAAAAGCUUGAUUUUCCAUAACAUUUUUUUAAAUAUAUUUUUUGCUAACCACCCUUAAACUUUGACGCAAAUUAAAUGGGGAAGUUUAUAAUGUUUAAAUUAGUAUCUCUCUUUUAUAAAUUUUUACAAGGAACUCGGCAAAUUUUUUAUUCGACUGUUUAACAAAAACAUAGUUCGCUGGUAUUUAUAGCGGAUGUUAACUGCCCGGUGAUAUAAUUUAACGGCCGCAGUACCUUGACUGUGCGAAGGUAGCAUAAUAAUUUGGCCUUUAAAUGGGGUCUAGUAUGAAAGGAUGGACGGAUAGAAGCUGUCUCAAAAUUUAAUUAAAGAAAAUUUACUUAAAAGGUGAAAAUACCUUUGUGUUUAUAUAAUAGACGAGAAGACCCUUAGAAUUUAGUUUAAAGAUAAGAGAAUAAUUCUUGGUUUUGAUUUUGUUGGGGCAACAAAGCUGCAGUAUAAAUCAGCUUUCUUAAUCAUAAAGAUACGCCGACUACUAGUAUGGGCAUUUAAAUUACCUUAGGGAUAACAGCAUAAUUUAAUAAAGAUUGUGACCUCGAUGUUGGAUUAGGGCCAUAAUAAUUUAGCCAAUUAUUACGUUAGUUCUGUUCGAACUUAUUUACCUACAUGAUCUGAGUUCA